CUCCUCUACAGAUGUCUUCGACGGCGUUCGCAUUCCCUGUGAGGAAGGUAUUGAUACCCUUGCAGCUGUUGCUUGGGUUCACUUGUGUGGGUGGUUUCACGAUUUUUCUAUCUUUUAUAACCUGGGUACAUUGGACAACAGUCAUCCCAUCGUUGAUAUGCUUAUGCUCAAACUUAGCCCAACUUUGUCCGUCCACAGAGAUCACGGCAGCAGAGAUCAGCAGAACACCAGCAAAGAUAGAGAUCUUCAUGUUGAUCUGGAGAAU